rnacentral:rRNA from 1 species
UACGAAGGGGGCUAGCGUUGCUCGGAAUCACCGGGCGUAAAGGGUGCGUAGGCGGGUCUUUAAGUCAGGGGUGAAAUCCUGGAGCUCAACUCCAGAACUGCCUUUGAUACUGAGGAUCUUGAGUACGGGAGAGGUGAGUGGAACUGCGAGUGUAGAGGUGAAAUUCGUAGAUAUUCGCAAGAACACCAGUGGCGAAGGCGGCUCACUGGCCCGUAACUGACGCUGAGGCACGAAAGCGUGGGGAGCAAACAGG